UACAGAGGUCCCGAGCGUUGUUCGGAUUUAUUGGGCGUAAAGGGUGCGUAGGCGGCGGAGUAAGUUGGGUGUGAAAUCCCGGGGCUCAACCUCGGAAUGGCAUUCAAUACUGCUUCGCUAGAGUACUGGAGAGGAGGCUGGAAUUUACGGUGUAGCAGUGAAAUGCGUAGAUAUCGUAAGGAAGGCCGGUGGCGAAAGCGAGCCUCUGGACAGAAACUGACGCUGAGGCGCGAAAGCUAGGGGAGCAAACAGG
rnacentral:rRNA from 1 species